rnacentral:rRNA from 1 species
UUCCUACGGGACGCAGCAGUGAGGAAUAUUGGUCAAUGGACGCAAGUCUGAACCAGCCAAGUAGCGUGCAGGAUGACGGCCCUCCGGGUUGUAAACUGCUUUUAGUUGGGAAUAAAAGGGGGCUCGUGAGCCCCGUAUUGUAUGUACCAUCAGAAAAAGGACCGGCUAAUUCCGUGCCAGCAGCCGCGGUAAUACGGAGGAUGCGAGCGUUAUCCGGAUUUAUUGGGUUUAAAGGGUGCGUAGGCGGAAUGCCAAGUCAGCGGUAAAAUCGCGGGGCUCAACCUCGCUCCGCCGUUGAAACUGGC